CCUACGGGUGGCAGCAGUCGAGAAUUUUUCUCAAUGGGGGAAACCCUGAAGGAGCGACGCCGCGUGGAGGAUGAAGGCUUUCGGGUUGUAAACUCCUGUCAUUUGAGAACAAGGUGCACGCAGUAACUACGCGUGCAUUGAUAGUAUCAGAAGAGGAAGAGACGGCUAACUCUGUGCCAGCAGCCGCGGUAAUACAGAGGUCUCAAGCGUUGUUCGGAUUCAUUGGGCGUAAAGGGUGCGUAGGUGGCGCGCUAAGUCAGGUGUGAAAUUUCGGAGCUUAACUCCGAAACUGCAUUUGAUACUGGCGUGCUUGAGGACUGGAGAGGAGACUGGAAUUCACGGUGUAGCAGUGAAAUGCGUAGAUAUCGUGAGGAAGACCAGUGGCGAAGGCGGGUCUCUGGACAGUUCCUGACACUGAGGCACGAAGGCCAGGGGAGCAA
rnacentral:rRNA from 1 species